AUGAAAAGCGGCCCCUCUGGUAAGGUCCAUUGCUUGGAUUUUAAAUUGUUGGAGUACAGCAAGAGGGGUUUGCACAGCUGUGUGCAUAUUUAUAUUUCAAGCUUACAAAGUCAGGCAUAGUGAUUAAUUGUGAUUAAUCAGCUAGUGCCAGAUUCAGCUAUGGGCAACCGCCCAGGGCAGCAUCUUGUGGGGGUGACAAGACCGACCCCUCACCCCUCUCACCACCCAGAUACUCCAAUUGUCUGUGUCUCACUGUAACUUUCAUCCUUCUGUCCAUAGACUAAUGGAUGACAUAGUGAGAUAUUGCCAUCUCACUGUAUCUGCCAACCUUAGGUUUACAGAUAGAGGCACAGACGUUACAGAAGGUGUCUCUGUCUGCAAACAUAGUAUAUGGAUAGAGACAGAGGAAUGUAUCUGUCUAUGGAAAUGUCUCUGUGUACCUGAGUAUUAAGUAAAAAUUAAAACUAAUAUCACUGAGCAUUGUUAUUUUUCAGGAAACAGCAUCAAGGGCACAAGCGGGUCCAGCAACUCCUUUUGCCACCUAGAGUAUUGUUUCAUAGGCGAUUCAUAGGCCUCAACCCAGAAAGUGGAACAAAAGCUGCAAAUGCAAAAGUGACAUCAACCAACAAGACGACUUAUGCAAAACACUAGGACAACAGUGAACCUACAGACCGGAGGACAGCUACAAUGAAGGAAGGUCAGAGAGUGUCUUUCCUUUUCAUCCUGUCUGUCUUUACCUGACAUAAAUGCAGUUAGGAAACUUUGACAUUUGGGUACUUUUGUUUUAGUAAAGAUUAUUUAAUUAAUUGUAUUCAAUGCCAUAUUAUCAUGAUUGUAAAUGUAUCAGUUAUGUUUUUAGAUCUGAGCAUUUUUCACUUUGGUUGCAAUACUUUGACUUCUGUGUAGCAAGCAAAUAUUGCUGUUGCAAAAUACUAUAUUUUGUUUUGCUUCAGUUUGUCAGAUUUAAAUUGACAAUAAAAUCAAGUGAUUUUAAAAUAUACAUGUAUGUUUUUUAAAUUAAAAAAAUGAAACAUUUUUUGAGAGUUUGGUAAAUUAAGUUGCAAGUUCACAUUUAAACUUUUAAAAGCUAGCAAAGUGCAGUUUUAUGAACUACUGUAAAAUGACAACUUUUUGUAAUUCUACUACAGGACUACUGUAAUUUUAUUAUGAUAAAAAUGUGAUGAAAUCACAGUAACCAUGUUAUAUAAUUACUGUGCUGUUUUAAAGAAAUUACAGUAACACUAAUCAAAUUACAGUAAUAUAGCAAUGACAGAAAAAACUGUAAUAAAAUCACAGUCAAAUUGUAAUAGAAUUACAGUAAGGCUACUGUAAAGUUACUGUAAUUUCUUUAUCGUAAAAAUUACAGUAACUGGCUGGCAACCCUGCUGCCAGUAAGUUACUGUAAAUUCUACAGUGACUUGUUUUACAGUGUGUGGUAGGCUGAGCUAUUUUGAAAUUUCUUGUUACUAAUUAAACACUGACUUUGAAGGUUUUGUUUAAACUAUUAAUUUAAACUAGCUUAAAUGCAUGUUCAAAUGGGUUGUCAUAUGGCAAGAGUUAAUACCUUUUGUAGUAAUGUGCCUGCACUGCACAUGUAAAAGAAAAUGGAUAACAAUUUUGAAAAUACAGUUCUGUUGUACCUUUUCUAAUUGUUGAGUUUUCUUUCUACCCUUUCACCCAGUCCUGUCUUAAAACACUUAAUUUAAUUGCACUUAAAAAAAUGUCUUUGAAAUAACAUAAUUAAAUCAUGGAAAGGAUUUCCACACGAUUAAAUAGCUUUCUUUCAGCAUGAAGCAUGUUUGUUGAGCUAACUUAAUUUUCAUGAGUUGGAUCAACUUAAUUAAGUAAUGUGAAGGUACCACUGUAAAAUAAGUUGGUUUCAACUAAAGUUGCAUUCAUUUUAAUCAAGAAAAGUCAAUUAUUUGGUCCAAAACAUUGCAAACUACUUGGGCUGGCUAACUAAUUUGCAAUGUUAGCAAAUUUACUAUAUUGGGUCCAAAUAUACAGUAGUAAAUAAGUUGAAUCAACCUUAAAAAUUUAAGUUGAGCCAACACAUUUGCUUUAAAUUGGAAUAACCUUAAUAAAUUAAGUUGAACUAACACAUUUGCUUUAAAAUGGAGUAACAGAAUUACAUGGUGCUGAAAUAAAGCAAAGUAAUCAUGUGGAAAUCCUUUCCAUGAUUUUUUUAUGUUAAUCCAAAGAGUUAUUUUUUUCAGUGAGAUGGAAAACUAGCUAGAGCAUUUCCACAGACUAAGUUAACAUGAGUGGAGCUCCAAGGAGAGGCAAAGUGAAAAUGAUGGAAAAAGGAGAGCAAGGAAAAGCCAAAAACUGGACGCAUAUUUUGCUCCUCGCCUUGGAGAUGAACCAGACUUUUUUGUUGGCAGCAAUUCAGACCCGUCAAAACUUCCAGCCCAGCGAAGGAGCAGGACUAGUUACAGGUAGCAACUAUGACAUUAUUCACAAAGUUUGAGUUAACUGUAGACUGAUUGUAAAUUGUAUCAGCCCAGCCAUCUAGCUUACAUCUCCUUUUCUCCCUUGUCGGUGGUACAGCGGUGAUGUCAGGGACUGAAGGCUGAGUUAUAGUCGCGCUUUGGACGGUCAGGGGCGCUGCCAGGAAACUUGGGCCCCAUGACAAAAAAUUUAAUUGGGCCCCCUGCUGUUACAAUUUUUUGAGUCUAUUUGACCCAUAAAAAGCGGCACAAUUUUAAACACAUGCAACUGCCUUGCUUUCCUGUCAUGACAGUUUGUUAUGAGGCAGAUAAUCUGUGAAAACAUGAAUCUCCUCCAGCUCCUCCCUGACCUACUACUGACGGCUAAAGAUUGUGAUUUACAGCGCUAAAAUCCACCUCCUGCCUCUGAUUGGUUGUUUCUAGAGAGCACUGGGAGAAGGCAGAGGAAUUAAAUUAUUCUCAGAUAAUCUCUCAAUUUAUUGACAGUCUUAACAAAUGUGUACUUUUGUUAAUAAAAGUUGCAUAUUGCAGCUUUAAUUUCACUUAGGAGGGGACGGGUCAGGAGGGAGGUGGCAACAGAUAUCUGUAAUUUAAAUGCAAGUUAAGGCAGGACUAUCUGGACUGACAAGAGGCUGUUUUUAUAAAGAUUGUUUGAAUUUAUGUCACUAAUAAAUAUAUUGUUUUACUGUGUAAUUGUAAAAAGAGCAGCGAGACAGGAAAAAUCUACAUAGACUCCCUGGAAGGAUGCUAACUAGCUUGUCACUGAACACAGUGUUGCUCACCUCUUUCACUGAGACAGGGAGGAGGGAUUAUUCUGAUAUCGGGGUCAGAGCUGUUUUUGUUAUGUUAUAAAUUAGCUGUUUUUGUUGCCUCCCUAAUGUUAUUAUUGUUUCCUGAUGUGUGGAUAAAUUGCAGCCUAGAAAGCAAUUUAAAAGGAAUGAAACAAAAAAUAGGCCAAUAUUUUAUCAUUUAAUAUAUAAGUGAGCCAAAGAGCCACUUCCGCCAGCCGCUAG